rnacentral:tRNA from 2 species
GGGCAGUUGGCGGAAUUGGUAUACGCGCUGGUCUUAGGAACCAGUGGGGUAACCCUUAAGAGUUCGAGUCUCUUACUGCCUACCA